rnacentral:ribozyme from 1 species
CAAGUAACUCCGCCUGUAGCUCUUAUAAGGAUACUGCCGGUCCCAAGCCCGGGUAAAGGAGGAGGGUUGG